rnacentral:rRNA from 1 species
CCUACGGGUGGCAGCAGUGAGGAAUAUUCGUCAAUGGACGAGAGUCUGAACCAGCCAAGUCGCGUGAAGGAUGACGGCCCUAUGGGUUGUAAACUUCUUUUAUAUGGGAAUAAAGUUGAGUAUGUAUACUGCCUUUUAUGUACCAUAUGUAUAAGGAUCGGCUAACCACGUGCCAGCCGCCGCGGUAAUACGGAGGAUCCGAGCGUUAUCCGGAUUUAUUGGGUUUAAAGGGAGCGGAGGCGGUCGCAUAAGUCAGAUGUGAAAGUUGGCGGCUCAACCGUAGAAUUGCAUUUGAUACUGUGUGUCUUGAGUGCAGCAGAGGAGGGCGGAACUCGAGGUGUAGCGGUGGAAUGCGUAGAUAUAACGAAGAACUCCGAUUGCGAAGGCAGCUUACUGGACUGUAACUGACGCUGAGGCUCGAAAGUAUGGGUAUCGAACAGGAUUAGAUACCCCAGUAGUC